GGAGGGAUGUCCGAGUGGUCGAUGGUGCCUGAUUCGAAAUCAGGUGUACCGAAAGGUACCAGGGGUUCGAAUCCCCUUUCCUCCGCCA
rnacentral:tRNA from 1 species